ACUCCUACGGGAGGCAGCAGUAGGGGAAUCUUCCACAAUGGGCGGCAAGCCUGAUGGAGCAACACCGCGUGAGUGAAGAAGGGUUUCGGCUCGUAAAGCUCUGUUGUUAAAGAAGAACACGUAUGAGAGUAACUGUUCAUACGUUGACGGUAUUUAACCAGAAAGUCACGGCUAACUACGUGCCAGCAGCCGCGGUAAUACGUAGGUGGCAAGCGUUAUCCGGAUUUAUUGGGCGUAAAGAGAGUGCAGGCGGUUUUCUAAGUCUGAUGUGAAAGCCUUCGGCUUAACCGGAGAAGUGCAUCGGAAACUGGAUAACUUGAGUGCAGAAGAGGGUAGUGGAACUCCAUGUGUAGCGGUGGAAUGCGUAGAUAUAUGGAAGAACACCAGUGGCGAAGGCGGCUACCUGGUCUGCAACUGACGCUGAGACUCGAAAGCAUGGGUAGCGAACAGGAUUAGAUACCCUGGUAGGAUAGCG
rnacentral:rRNA from 1 species